AUGAAUCAUUUGGGCCACAUAGUUGUGCCUCUGUUUGUAGUCUGUCUGUGCGAUUUUCUUACAGCAGCUGAGGAUAUGAUCAAUGGUUUCGUCGGUUUCCUUGCACAGUCUGCAUUUUGGGUCAUCAGCUGCUGUAAGAAAAUCGCACAGACAGACUACAAACAGAGGCACAACUAUGUGGCCCAAAUGAUCCAUUGGAACUUAUGCCUCAAGUACCACCUCCCAGCAAUAAAGAACUGGUGGGAUCACAAACCUGCAAAAGUAUUGGAAAAUGAGCACGCAAAGAUACUGUGGGACUUCCGAAUCCAGACUGACAAAGUUCUGGAACACAACACACCAGACAUCACAGUUGUGGAAAAGAAAAAGGUUUGGAUCAUUGAUGUCGCCAUCCCAGGUGACAGUCGCAUUGAUGAAAAACAACAAGAAAAACUCAGCUACUAUCAGGACCUCAAGAUUGAACUUCAAAGACUCUGGCAGAAACCAGUGCAGGUGGUGAUCGGCACAUUGGGUGCUGUACCAAAAGACCUCAGCCGGCAUUUGGAAACAAUAGACAUUGACAAAAUUACAAUCUGCCAACUGCAAAAGGCCACCCUACUGGGAUCUGUACUCAUCAUCCGAAAAUACAUCACACAGUCCUAGACACUUGGGAAGUGUUCGACUUGUGAUUUUGUGAUACGGAAUCCAGCAUAUCUGUCUUGUUUACUGUGUCAUAAUAAAAUAAUAAUAAUUUUUAUUUUUCUACCCCAUCUCAGGGCAGCUUACAUGUGGCCAAAGCCCAGGCAAAUACAAUAAUAAACAUAGAACAACAUCAAAUAACAGAAAUCACGUGCAAAUGAAAGUUAAAAAUUAACAUACAAGUAAAAUAACAAAUAUUAGUAAAACACAAGUUAAAACACAGCAAUAGAAUCAUAAAAAUGACCUGGGCAAAAGUGCGCUACAUGAGUUAACAUGAGUAAACAUGAGGUAGUUAAAAGUGCUAUAAGAACAUGGGAAUGAAGAUCAAGGAGGAAAAAAUGUACGUUUCUCCACUUUAAUCAGAGGAUUUCAAAGAAGUCUAUCAUCCUUCUUGUUUUCCACUUAGGAAUAAUUUCAAAUAGGCUUCUUGGCCACAUAUAAAUGAAGAUGCAGUGUCAGCCAGGCAGCAAAGGAAUAAUGCUGGCAGAGACUGAAGAGCACAGUCCAUAUCAACCACACCGUGUUCAAUCAGUGGUUUGAAAGCACAGCCUUUUCAACAAAUUAUCAAGGUUGCUUCUUAAGAUCUGAAUGCCAUCUCACUGGUGCUGGGAGGUCUGAUAGAAGCCUUCAGAGGGUGUUAUGACCUAUACAUUUGGUUGAAUGAUUUUGGAAUUCAGCAAAAAGAUGGCACAGGUUAACGUGAGUGUAAAUUUAUACUGCAUAAACUCAAUGUAGUAUAACCCAGCUCCUGCCAACCUAGCAGUUCGAAAACAUGCAAAUGUGAGUAGAUCAAUAGAUCCCGCUCCGACGGGAAGGUAACGGUGCUCCAUGCAGUCAUGCCGGCCACAUGACCUUGGAGGUGCCUAUGGACAACACCGGCUCUUCGGCUUAGAAAUGGAGAUGAGCACCAACCCCCAGAGUCAGACAUGACUGGACUUAACGUCAGGGGAAACUUUUACCUUUACCUUAAACUCAAUGUAAUAAUUUGCACUAAGCAAAACCUGUAUAAAUUGUUACAUUGAUAUUUUUGUAUGAUUGAAUAAUUAUUGUUACAAAUUUCUUUCAUUGGUUUCACUCGAUUUUACAUAUGUGUCAUCUUGAGAUCUCAACAAACUAAAUGAAUAUUCACAUUUUAAGAAAUACAUAAUAUUUAUUGUAUCUCAUUCCAGGAACUAUAUAUAAUAUUUAUUAGCACUACUAAUAUAAAGUAAUAGCAAAGUCAGCCCUCUGCAUUUGAACACACAAUACCAAACAAUACUUCCACCCCCCCUUUUUUUUUUUUGCUUCACUUUCAAUAAAUAAUUAAUUUCCAGAAAUUCUGCUCAGCCAUUUUACUUGUGAGAUCUGCCAAUGCAACUGCAUCUUUGUUUAGGUACCAUCUGUCAGCUCUAUCUACAUCCCCCAAAAUGAACCUGCUUAGCAACUUCUGUCGAAUUGUUCUGAACACCUAUGGUUUUAUUGGAAUUUGAAAAUGUUCCAGUUAGUGUUCUUUCCAAAUAACUGUACUGUUUCAGCCUGGCAAAGUAUUAGAUUUUUGGUAUUCAUCGUGCCAAUAACAUUCUUAACCCAUUCGAGCACACAAAAAGAUUUGUGGAGGACAUUAUCAUGAGAUACCUGAAAGUGGUUCCUCUGAAGGUUUAAGUUGAUUUUCUUUUCCUGUUGUUCAAGACCAUUGCUCCACGUUCCGGUCUCUAGAGCAGCAGAAAGCAAUCUUACCUCCUUCUCAAUAUGACAUGCUUUCAAAUAUUCAAACCUGACUAUUUGUCCCCUCUUAAUCUUUUCCUCUCCAAGCUAAAUAUAUGAAGCUCACUAAGCUGCUCCUCAUGGAGCUUUAAUUCCAGACCUAUGAUCAUUCUGGUCACCCUUUUUUGGACACUUUCAAAUGGCAAGAGAUGUAGUGAAAAAGAGAACCAUCUUCCAGAGGUUGGUACUAUACUCCAACUCUCUACAUUUUUGCCAUGUUCCCAAGUUAGGUGCAAAUAAUUUUGAACUGAAACAAAACAGUAGGAAGGAAAAAUUAAAUCAAAGAGCACUAAACAGGAGAACUGUAAACUUAAGCCAAGGUUGCUAUAAAAAGAUCUACCACCUGGAGGCUAAUUCUUUGCUGCUGGUAUGAAUUGUUUUGAUCCUUUAAAAAAAAAAAAGAACACAAUCUCUUUUCUUUAUAGCAAUCAUUCAUUAAAUGAAUGGGUAUCCAAGUGCCAGUGCUGAUUGUUUUGAAUCUCAGGCUAUUUCAAAGAAAUCAUAAGCAGGCUAUAAAUAGAGGUAUGAAUAUAAAAUUGUGCACCUGUUUGUGUCUUGCUAUAUUCCCUCCAUCCUAUUUUUACUUCUUUUCACCUUUUGACCAGAUAGGUUCAUGAAGCAGGAGUCAAACAACUGUUAAUCUAGCAUGCCUUUAAACCU
ensembl:lncRNA